rnacentral:rRNA from 1 species
UACGUAGGGCGCAAGCGUUGUCCGGAAUUAUUGGGCGUAAAGAGCUCGUAGGCGGCCUGUUACGUCUGCUGUGAAAUCCCGGGGCUUAACCCCGGGCGUGCAGUGGAUACGGGCAGGCUGGAGGCAGGCAGGGGAGAACGGAAUUCCCGGUGUAGCGGUGAAAUGCGCAGAUAUCGGGAGGAAUACCAAAGGCGAAGGCAGUGUCCUGGCUGGCAUCUGACGCUGAGGCGCGAAAGCUAGGGGAGCGAACAGG